GGACCUACGGGAGGCAGCAGCCGCGGUAAUACGGAGGAUUCAAGCGUUAUCCGGAUUUAUUGGGUUUAAAGGGUGCGUAGGCGGUUCGAUAAGUUAGAGGUGAAAUCCCGGGGCUCAACUCCGGCACUGCCUCUGAUACUGUCGGGCUAGAGUUUAGUUGCGGUAGGCGGAAUGUAUGGUGUAGCGGUGAAAUGCAUAGAGAUCAUACAGAACACCGAUUGCGAAGGCAGCUUACCAAACUACGACUGACGUUGAGGCACGAAAGCGUGGGGAGCAAACAGGAUUAGAAACCCCUGUAGUCCAGG
rnacentral:rRNA from 1 species